GCAGCCGUGGCGGAAUUGGCAUACGCGCUAGACUAAGGAUCUAGUGAGCAUUGCGCUUGUGCGGGUUCAAGUCCCGCCGACUGCACUA
rnacentral:tRNA from 1 species